rnacentral:misc_RNA from 1 species
GAUGAAGAACGCAGCAAAAUGCGAUAAGUAAUGUGAAUUGCAGAAUUCAGUGAAUCAUCGAGUCUUUGAACGCACAUUGCGCCCACUGGUAUUCCGGGGGGCAUGCCUGUCCGAGCGUCAUUGCUGCCCUCAAGCACGGCUUGUGUGUUGGGCCUCCGUCCUCCUCCCGGGGGACGGGCCCGAAAGGCAGCGGCGGCACCGCGUCCGGUCCUCGAGCGUAUGGGGCUUCGUCACCCGCUCUUGUAGGCCCGGCCGGCGCUUGCCGACACAUCAAUCUUUUUUCCAGGUUGACCUCGGAUCAGGUAGGGAUACCCGCUGAACUUAAGCAUAUCAAUAAGCGGAGGA